GUGUGUGUGUGUUUGUUUGUCUAGUGUGUGUGUGUUUGUGUGUGUGUGUGUGUGUUUGUCCAGUGUGUGUGUGUGUGUGUGUGUUUAUCCAGUGUGUGUGUGUGUGUGUGUGUGUGUUUGUCCAGUGUGUGUGUGUGUGUGUGUGUGUUUGUCCAGUGUGUGCGUGUGUGUGUGUGUGUUUGUCCAGUGUGUGUGUGUGUGUGUGUGUGUGUGUGUGUGUUUGUCCAGUGUGUGUGUGUUUGUCCAGUGUGUGUGUGUGUGUUUGUCCAGUGUGUGUGUGUGUGUGUGUGUGUGUGUGUGUGUUUGUCCAGUGUGUGUGUGUGUUUGUCCAGUGUGUGUGUGUGUGUUUGUCCAGUGUGUGUGUGUGUGUGUGUGUGUUGUGUGUGUGUGUGUGUUUGUCCAGUGUGUGUGUGUGUGUGUGUGUGUGUGUGUGUGUGUGUGUUUGUCCAGUGUGUGUGUGUGUGUGUGUGUUUGUCCAGUGUGUGUGUGUGUGUGUGUUUGUCCAGUGUGUGUGUGUGUGUGUGUUUGUCCAGUGUGUGUGUGUGUGUGUGUGUUUGUCCAGUGUGUGUGUGUGUGUGUGUGUGUGUUUGUCCAGUGUGUGUGUGUGUGUGUUUGUCCAGUGUGUGUGUGUGUGUGUGUGUGUCCAGUGUGUGUGUGUGUGUGUUGUGUGUGUGUGUGUGUGUGUCCAGUGUGUGUGUGUGUGUGUGUGUCCAGUGUGUGUCCAGUGUGUGUGUGUGUGUGUCCAGUGUGUGUGUGUGUGUCCAGUGUGUGUGUGUGUGUGUGUGUCCAGUGUUGUGUGUGUGUGUGUGUGUGUGUGUGUGUGUCCAGUGUGUGUGUGUGUGUGAGUCCAGUGUGUGUGUGUCUGUGUGUAUCCAGUGUUUGUGUGUGUGUGUCCAGUGUGUGUGUUUGUCCACUUUGUUUGUCCAGUGUGUGUGUGUGUGUGUGUGU
rnacentral:lncRNA from 1 species